AUGAACGCUGACAGAAUGCUUCACACAUGCAAGUCUACUUGAACUUCGGUUUGGGUGGCGGACGGGUGAGUAACGCGUAAAGAACUUGCCUCACAGAUAGGGACAACAUUUGGAAACGAAUGCUAAUACCUGAUAUUAUGAUUUUAGGGCAUCCUAGAAUUAUGAAAGCUAUAUGCACUGUGAGAGAGCUUUGCGUCCCAUUAGCUAGUUGGAGAGGUAACGGCUCACCAAGGCGAUGAUGGGUAGCCGGCCUGAGAGGGUGAUCGGCCACAAGGGGACUGAGACACGGCCCUUACUCCUACGGGAGGCAGCAGUGGGGAAUAUUGGACAAUGGACCAAGAGUCUGAUCCAGCAAUUCUGUGUGCACGAUGAAGUUUUUCGGAAUGUAAAGUGCUUUCAGUUGGGAAGAAAAAAAUGACGGUACCAACAGAAGAAGAGACGGCUAAAUACGUG
rnacentral:rRNA from 1 species